rnacentral:piRNA from 1 species
UGAGCGAGCGCCAUGGAUGCAGGUCAUUG